CUGGCAAGCAGCGGCUCUUCAUCAAAGAUCUACUGUUCAGUUUAGAAGUUUUCAAUUGGAUUUGUUGAAUAUAGUAAUCGUUUGAUUUGCUUUGCAGGUCUCAAGCCUUACGCACUCAACAGAAUGGAGAGGACACUUGAUGCAGUGUGGAAGACGUUUAGAGGACACACUUUGGUUCAUCAGAGAUGCACCCUUUAUAUUUGGUAGACACCAUGACUGCAACGAUCUACCAAAGAAAGUCUUGGGUUUCAUUCAUGCAAGAAAUAUUAAAUAAUGUGAACUACAGGUAAUGACAUCAAGAAGCACAGAGUCAAACCAAACAAGUCUUUUAGAAAGAUGCAAGCGAGAGCUUCAUUCUUCAUCAUGCCCUUUCUGUGUGGGGGAGAAAGAAGAGAAGGAAGUUUGGAAGGAUCCUGUUGGGGAAGCCCUUUCUGCAGAUUCUGAUGCCCUCCAGCACACCGUUACAGCGCAGCUGGUGCAUGACCAGAGGAUUCUCCAUCGCCCCAGGAGUCUUAGUCUCAUUGGGGAUGAUGCAGCGCACAAAGUGAGGGAGAAACACUCUUGACGGGAAGCCAGAACCACACAGAAGAGAUGCAUGAAUUACAUCCCCAACCGGCUCUCUGGAGUUCAAUAGGGACUCUUCACUGUCUCAUUGUCCAUACAUCACAUGCAUUCUGCUGCUUCUAGAGCUAAAAUAAGCAUGAUGUUACGAGGGUGCGCUAGUAACCAGCCCCGCGGGAGCGUGUGUUUACCUGAUGAUGG